rnacentral:rRNA from 1 species
GACGAACCGUGCGAACGUUGUUCGGAUUCACUGGGCUUAAAGGGCGCGUAGGCGGCUUGUCAAGUCAGGGGUGAAAUCUUUCGGCUCAACCGGAAAAGUGCUUCUGAUACUGGCGGGCUGGAGGAGGGUAGGGGCGGGCGGAACUUCCGGUGGAGCGGUGAAAUGCGUAGAUAUCGGAAGGAACGCCGGUGGCGAAAGCGGCCCGCUGGACCCUUUCUGACGCUGAUGCGCGAAAGCCAGGGGAGCAAACGGG